AUUGAACGCUGGCGGCAUGCUUUACACAUGCAAGUCGAACGGUAACAGGGAGCUUGCUCCGCUGACGAGUGGCGAACGGGUGAGCAAUGCGUCGGAACGUGCCGAGUAGUGGGGGAUAACGCAGCGAAAGUUGUGCUAAUACCGCAUACGUACUGAGGUAGAAAGUGGGGGACCUUCGGGCCUCACGCUAUUCGAGCGGCCGACGUCUGAUUAGCUAGUAGGUGAGGUAAAGGCUCACCUAGGCGACGAUCAGUAGCGGGUCUGAGAGGAUGAUCCGCCACACUGGGACUGAGACACGGCCCAGACUCCUACGGGAGGCAGCAGUGGGGAAUUUUGGACAAUGGGCGAAAGCCUGAUCCAGCCAUGCCGCGUGUCUGAAGAAGGCCUUCGGGUUGUAAAGGACUUUUGUCGGGGAGGAAAUCCCCAGCGUUAAUACCGCUGGGGGAUGACAGUACCUGAAGAAUAAGCACCGGCUAACUACGUACCAGCAGCCGCCGUAACAC
rnacentral:rRNA from 1 species